UGGACGAGGAGGAGUCCUUCUCUAAGAAGGAACUCCAUGCUAAAAUAAAUAAGGGACGCCCACUUAUUUGUGAGUUGAAAUGGAAGAGUCCAUUUCAUAUUGAACACUUGAUUCCUUCCAUUAUUUCUACGCAUUUCCUUAAAUCCUCAUGACAUAUGAUGGUGCUUGGGAUAUGGGGCAUGGAAGAGGAGGAAGAGUCCUUCUCUUGAA
rnacentral:lncRNA from 1 species